rnacentral:lncRNA from 1 species
UAUUUGUCUAGUAGUCCUUGGUUUAAUACACCGACCUAUAUAAUAACUGGAUUCACAACCUAUAUAAUAUAAAGAAGAUUCGCCCUUGAGCUGUCGGCAGCUAUUUUAUGUAUUCCUAUGAGUAAGUUAUUCAUAGACUAGCUUUAAAGUGAAAUUCCAAAUCAUGUCUAGUGUUGUGUUUUUGGUUUUCAUUUCAUCGAUUUCCGAAGGAUUCAAAGAGGUGCUGGCAAUGGGUAAGGAACCUCAAGUUGAAGAACUUUUCUCCAAAGGACCAUUCAAGGAUUUGUUGCCAACAUUUUGAUCCUGAGUGUUUUAAUAGAACUUCGGAUGUUAAAAGGUUAAGAGAAAACGCUGUGCCUACGAUAUUCAAAGCAUUUCCGUCUCAUCUUCAAGAAGAUGUAGCUUGAACCAAUUUCAAACGCAAGUCCCCCAUGGAGAGAAUUCUCAUCCCCCAAAGUUGUGAAAACGUCUCUUGAGCCAGCCCUAGAUAUUAGGUUCCUGCAAGCUCAAAAUAAUGUUGAGUAAUGUAAGAAACUCCAAAGACAAGUAGAUAUGAUUUCCUACCUUUCAUCGAGAUCACUAAAGUCCAAAAGAAAAUAAGUUAGCUAAGAAGUUAUCAACCUUCAUUGACGUAGUCAACGAAUUGAAGUAGAAAAGAUGGAUGUCAGAAGAGGCGACAUCUAUUCUUGAAACAAUGUCGGAUGAACCUAAAAAUCUUUUGAAGAGGAGACAACUCGAUAAUAAGGGAAGGGAAGUUAUAGCAGCUACUUUCCUGAACUUCGAGCGUUCGUUUUGACAUUGUCAUUUUAAUCCACUCAAUCCUUUAAUUAUGUAAGGUAGACAUUUGACUUUUGCUUACCAAGUCUCAGUACAAUUAGAAACUGAUAUUCUAAUGUAGAUAGUGAGCCGGGAUUUACUCAAUCUUCUUUUGAUAUCCUACAAUCAAAGGCCAAGAAAGCCCAUGAAUCUGAAGAAGAAAUUAUUGUUAAUUUGACCUUAGAUAAAAUGUCAAUAUUCAAAAAAACUCAAUGGAAUGGGAAAGGCUUUAAUGGAUAUUUCAACAUGGGGGCUUAAUGAGGAAGAAAUUUGUGAAACUGUGCCGGCAACUGAGGUUCAUGUAUUCAUGAUUGUUUCUUUAAACUCGAAUUGGAAAGUUCUGAUGGCUCAUUUUUUCAUUCAUAGUUUGACUAGGUCCGAAAAAGCCAAUCUUGUAAAAUAAUGUCUUAGAAGACUCCAUUCUAUUAUUGUAAAAAUGACUUCGUUAACUUUUGACGGCCCUAUUACUUACCAAGCAAUGUUAAAAGAAUUGGGAGGUAAUUUGGAACCAGGAGAGAGAUAUCAGACCUAUUUCUUUCACCCCAGUAAUCGCCGCCAAAAAAUAUUUAUGGUACUAGACACAUGCCAUUGUAUAAAGUUAGUUAGGAAUAAAUUGGCAUCUCUCAAAGUUAUGGAAGAUAAAGACGGUACAAGAAUGGAAAAAAACUUCAAACGUUAAAAGGAAAUAAACUAAGGAAAAAUCACAUUAACUUCCAUAAUAUGAAAAUAAAGGUAAACUUCGCUACUCAACUCAUUAGUUCAUCUGUAGUACAUGAGAUAAAGUUCUAUAAUAAGGAUCUUCAAUUACCGGAGUUUAGAAACUCUGAAAGAACAGUCGAGUUUCUUAGAAGAUUUGAUACACUUUUUGAUUUCACCAACAGCAGAAAUCUAUUGGCAAAAGGAUUCAAAUCUCCUCGGAGUAUAGGAAUUAAAGACUAUUGGAAACCAAUCUUUCAAGAUAUGUUUUUAUAUAUUUCUGAAUUGAAGGAUGCAUUUGGUAAACCUUUGGUCAAAACGCGUAAAAUAACUGAUUUUGUUGGAUUCAUGGCAUCAAUUACCAAUGGUAUAAAUGCCAUAGAAUAAAAAACAGGUUUAAAUCCAUCAAAUGUACAGUUGGAACUCAGUACUAGAAUAUAUACGAAUAGGAACAAGUUGAACAAUUCUUCAAUCUACUUCAAAGUAAAUAAAAUUCAGUCCAGACUACAGGGCAAGAAGAAAGACGAUGAUUGUCUAUAUUGAAUACAGCAUAGUAUGUGGGUACAAAACAUACAAUAUGAAUAUCUACUGUCAUAAUUAAUUAAUUAAUCAAUAGAAUAGUCAUAAAUGAUACAUGCCAAUAUAAAACAAAACAGAAAAAGAAAGGAUUGAUCAGAACGUA